UACAGAUGCGGACAUAUACACACACAUACACUAUAAAAAAGGAUUUUGGAGGGUAGUAUUAUCCAAGCAAAUCAUUUAAAUUGUACUCAAGGUAUAUAAGUGAGCAUUGUUAGUAUAUAUGAAUGGGUAAAUUCUACCUACACUACCUAAUUUCUGACAGUACCAACUGAAACACAAACAAUCUGGGUCAAAUCUACUUGAAGACAUUAGGCCCACACUGCCCCUUUGCGCAUGCGUCUGCGGUGAUUCUUGGCUGCAGGCCAGAGGAGCGGUUCUCUUUCGCGCCUCCCUCCUCCUGGUGUGUGGAAAUGUUGGAAGACAAUUUGGAGUGGAGGUGGUGACCCUCAGCCCACGUGUCAGUGUCUUCAAGGAGAGAUGGCCUGGUUUAUUCAAUGAGGCUCAGAUCAAGGAGGAGUUCCGACACAUAACAACUCUUUCACUGGAAGAGACUUUGAUGCUGAAACUGGAUGGGUACACUAACACCACUCGCUCCAGCUGAUGCGUGCCAAAGGAGGAGAUGCUGGCUCCAGGAUGCGCCCUCUUCUGAGCACAAUUGAUGA